GACGAAGGAUGCAAGCGUUAUCCGGAUUCAUUGGGUUUAAAGGGAGCGUAGGCGGCCUUGUAAGUCAGUGGUGAAAUCUCGCAGCUUAACUGCGAAACUGCCAUUGAUACUGCAGGGCUUGAGUACAGAUGCUGUGGGCGGAAUAUGACAUGUAGUGGUGAAAUACAUAGAGAUGUCAUAGAACACCGAUUGCGAAGGCAGCUCACAAAACUGUAACUGACGCUGAGGCUCGAAAGCGUGGGGAUCAAACAGG
rnacentral:rRNA from 1 species